rnacentral:lncRNA from 1 species
AAAUUUGGAGCAACUCUAAAAAGCUUCAAUUUUCAAAAUAUGAUGUUAAACUGAAUACAUCUCCUUAUUUGUUUAUGUUUUACAUUGAGAAAAAAGUUGAUAGCACCACUGAGAAAUCUAGUAAAUUCCAGUUUUCAAAAGUAUCUCAAGAAGAUGAUGGGGUAGAAGAACCUAACAGGGAAUCUAACUGUAACAGGGAGUUGCAAAUUAAAUCUAUAGGUA